GCCCUUGAGGCGUGGCUUCCGGAGCUAACGCGUUAAGUCGACCGCCUGGGGAGUACGGCCGCAAGGUUAAAACUCAAAUGAAUUGACGGGGGCCCGCACAAGCGGUGGAGCAUGUGGUUUAAUUCGAUGCAACGCGAAGAACCUUACCUGGUCUUGACAUCCACAGAACUUGNNNGAGNNGNNNUGGUGCCUUCGGGAACUGUGAGACAGGUGCUGCAUGGCUGUCGUCAGCUCGUGUUGUGAAAUGUUGGGUUAAGUCCCGCAACGAGCGCAACCCUUAUCCUUUGUUGCCAGCGGUCAGGCCGGGAACUCAAAGGAGACUGCCAGUGAUAAACUGGAGGAAGGUGGGGAUGACGUCAAGUCAUCAUGGCCCUUACGACCAGGGCUACACACGUGCUACAAUGGCGCAUACAAAGAGAAGCAAUCUCGCGAGAGCCAGCGGACCUCAUAAAGUGCGUCGUAGUCCGGAUUGGAGUCUGCAACUCGACUCCAUGAAGUCGGAAUCGCUAGUAAUCGUGAAUCAGAAUGUCACGGUGAAUACGUUCCCGGGCCUUGUACACACCGCCCGUCACACCAUGGGAGUGGGUUGCAAAAGAAGUAGGUAGCUUAACCUUCGGGAGGGCGCUAC
rnacentral:rRNA from 1 species